AACGCACCUUGCGCUCCUUGGUAUUCCGAGGAGCAUGCCUGUUUGAGUGUCAUUUAAUUCUCAACCUUAUUAGCUUUUGCUGAUAAUGGCUUGGAUGUGGGGGUUCUCUUUUGCUGGCUUCUUUCACAGAGGUCAGCUCCCCUGAAAUGCAUUAGCUGGUGCCCCGCGUGGACUGUCUAUUUGGUGUGAUAAUUAUCUACGCCGUGGAUGUCUGCAAUUGGUUUUGGCGCUGCUUCUAACUGUCUGUUCAUUUGGACAAUACAUGACAAUUUGACCUCAAAUCAGGUAGGACUACCCGCUGAACUUAA
rnacentral:misc_RNA from 1 species